GCAAGUCGAGGGGCAGCAUAAUUUAGUUUACUAGAUUGAUGGCGACCGGCGCACGGGUGCGUAACGCGUAUGCAACCUACCUCAUACUAGAGAAUAGCCCAGAGAAAUUUGGAUUAAUGCUCUAUAGUAUUCACGCUCGGCAUCGAAUGUGAAUUAAAGAUUACGGUAUGAGAUGGGCAUGCGUCCCAUUAGCUAGAUGGUAAGGUAACGGCUUACCAUGGCGAUGAUGGGUAGCCGGCCUGAGAGGGUGAAC
rnacentral:rRNA from 1 species